rnacentral:rRNA from 1 species
UGGGUAGUUUGACUGGGGCGGUCUCCUCCUAAAGAGUAACGGAGGAGCACGAAGGUUGGCUAAUCCUGGUCGGACAUCAGGAGGUUAGUGCAAUGGCAUAAGCCAGCUUGACUGCGAGCGUGACGGCGCGAGCAGGUGCGAAAGCAGGUCAUAGUGAUCCGGUGGUUCUGAAUGGAAGGGCCAUCGCUCAACGGAUAAAAGGUACUCCGGGGAUAACAGGCUGAUACCGCCCAAGAGUUCAUAUCGACGGCGGUGUUUGGCAC